GAUGAAGAACGUAGCGAAAUGCGAUAACUAAUGUGAAUUGCAGAAUUCAGUGAAUCAUCGAGUCUUUGAACGCACAUUGCGCCCCCUGGUAUUCCGGGGGGCAUGCCUGUCCGAGCGUCAUUGCUGCCCUCAAGCACGGCUUGUGUGUUGGGCUCCGUCCCCCCGGGGACGGGCCCGAAAGGCAGCGGCGGCACCGAGUCCGGUCCUCGAGCGUAUGGGGCUUUGUCACCCGCUCUGUAGGCCCGGCCGGCGCCAGCCGACAACCCAUCAUCCUUUUCAGGUUGACCUCAAAUCAGGUAGGACUACCCGCUGAACUUAAGCAUAUCAAUAAGCGGAGGA
rnacentral:misc_RNA from 1 species